GAAAAAAAAAGGAAGCGGGGAGAAGGGGGUAAUUUUGUGAAGAAAUUAAAUGAAAAUGUUUAUGCAGACGCGAAAUAUGUUAUGUGGAUUAUAUCUUAGAUUGUCAACUCGAGGAUCUGCUGUAAGAUAUUGUCCCACAUAGUUUGUAGUACAUGACUGGAUAUUCUUCUGCACUGAGUUGUCUAGCCUCGUAGCACACCUAGCUAACCUGUUAGCCUUCGUUAGCUAAAUGAAUGUUGCUAUCGGUUGUAUAGCUAACCCGAUUUACUCCCAAGACUGGAUAUAUCCUUUCCGAUCUGGAAUUCAUGGACAUUAUCAAAGACGGUGUUACGCGAGUGACCAGUUGGAUCGUUCAACAGAGCCUGCUACUCCGGACUUUCCUGCUGCUGCUUGCACCUGGACCUGUGGGCCUGUGACUACUUCGCCCUUUUGCCAUUUCUGUGGACACACGGAGGAGGUAUCAUGAAUGGAUGGAUGAAGUGUCCUGAGCUGCAGCAUCUGAGCGCCUCAGAGCCACCGACCCUGGAACAGGAGUACGACAUGCAGUGGAGCUGGAGGGAAGAUGGUAACAAGUGCACAUUCACCAUCUUGGAUAAGUAGUGAUGGGCAGAUCCCAGUAUAGAAGAGGAGUAGUGCACAGUGGGAGAUGUCAACAUGUUCCUGACGGACCCAACAGACCUCUCCUCCGCUGAGCAAAUAUCUACAGUCAGCCUGUGCUGUGGCCACAGAAUGCAUGGACAAGAACUUGCACAGUGUAAAUAGUCUUGGGCAUGUUGUGAGGAGGACCGACAGCGUUCCAGGCCCCUGUCACUCCUACAUAUGGACAUCAUCCGCAAGUUGAUGAGAUCCUGAUUCUCCAAAUGGCAAAAAACAAAGGCAUCCAUGGCUCUGGAGUUCUUCCUUGAAGCUGCAAAGAGACCCGACUUUCCAUCCAGUGCAUCUCCAAGAGUGAAUGGGGACAGUGGACCCGGGAUUGUGCUAAGGGAAGCUUCAAAGAGAAGUGUCCAACAAAAGAACAUCUUAAACAUGCCUCCAAUCCAAGAUGAUCUUGACAAUGAGGGAUGGAACCUUUCACUCUGAACAGGACACAGCUGUGGAAAAUGGGAAGACUCUGUCCCUUCAACCCUCAUGAGCAGUGGUCCCCAACCUUUUUAAUCACUGUGGACCGGUCAACGCUUGACAAUUCUUUACCGCAGCCCGGGGGGGGAGGGGGCACGGUAAAAAAUAAUAUAAUAUUUUAUAAUUCACGUCACGUGUGUUGAAAUUUUUAACUCCCCAUAACGCUAAAUCAAUGGGACCCCUGAGCCCUAGCACUCGUUUCAGUGCUGUGGUGGCGAUCUCAGGGUAUUCUGUCAUGACUUUAAUCCAGAACACCGACAGAGUUGUU